GACGUAGGGGGCGAGCGUUGUCCGGAUUUAUUGGGCGUAAAGCGCGCGUAGGCGGCUGCGCAAGUCGGUUGUGAAACCCCGGGGCUCAACCCCGGAACUGCAUCCGAUACUGCGUGGCUAGAGGUAGGUAGGGGAGAUCGGAAUUCCUGGUGUAGCGGUGGAAUGCGUAGAGAUCGGGAAGAACAUCGGUGGCGAAGGCGGUCUGCUGGGCCGUUGCUGACGCUGAGGCGCGACAGCGUGGGGAGCAAACAGG
rnacentral:rRNA from 1 species